AGUGAACGCUGGCGGCAGGCCUAAUACAUGCAAGUCGAACGGCAGCACAGCAGAGCUUGCUCUGUGGGUGGCGAGUGGCGGACGGGUGAGGAACACAUGGGAAUCUGCCCAGUCGUGGGGGAUAACGUAGGGAAACUUACGCUAAUACCGCAUGCGACCUUCGGGGGAAAGCCGGGGCCCUUCGGGCCUGGCGCGAUCGGAUGAGCCCAUGUCGGAUUAGACAGUUGGCGGGGUAAAAGCCCACCAAGGAGAAGAUCCGUAGCUGGUAUGAGAGGAUGAUCAGCCACACUGGAACUGAGACACGGUCCAGACUCCUACGGGAGGCAGCAGUAGGGAAUAUUGGACAAUGGGCGCAAGCCUGAUCCAGCCAUGCCGCGUGAGUGAAGAAGGCCCUCGGGUUGUAAAGCUCUUUUGUCCGGAAAGAAAAGCAUCCAGUUAAUACCUGGGUGUCCUGACGGUACCGGAAGAAUAAGCACCGGCUAACUUCGUGCCAGCCGCCGCAGUAACAC
rnacentral:rRNA from 1 species